rnacentral:rRNA from 1 species
UAAGUAAUGUGAAUUGCAGAAUUCCGUGAAUCAUCGAAUCUUUGAACGCACAUUGCGCCCACUAGCACUCUAGUGGGCAUGCCUGUUCGAGCGUCAUUACGACCCUCAGGCCGUUCCCGAAAGGGCAACAGGCCUGGAGUUGGGGCGCUACUGCGUCUCGCAGGCGCUGUAGGUUCCGAAUUUCAGUGGCGGGCUCGUUGGAACCUCAGCGUAGUAGAUCCUAUCGCUCGGGGCGUUCCGGCGGGCGUCCGGCCGUAAAACCCCCAAACCUAACAAGGUUGACCUCGAACCAGGUAGGAAUACCCGCUGAACUUAA